UACGGGGGGGGCAAGCGUUGUUCGGAAUUACUGGGCGUAAAGCGCGCGUAGGCGGCUUUUCAAGUCAGGCGUGAAAGCCCCAGGCUUAACCUGGGAACUGCGUUUGAUACUGUUAAGCUAGAGUGUGGAAGGGGCUACUGGAAUUCCGUGUGUAGCGGUGAAAUGCGUAGAUAUACGGAGGAACACCAGCGGCGAAGGCGGGUCUCUGGGCCGAUACUGACGCUGAGGAGCGAAAGCGUGGGGAGCGAACAGG
rnacentral:rRNA from 1 species